rnacentral:tRNA from 1 species
GCCAUAGCUCAUGGUCUAGAGCAUCUGCUUUGUAUUCAGGAGAUCCCAGGUCCAAUCCCUGGCAUCUCCA